rnacentral:rRNA from 1 species
GUGUCAGCCGCCGCGGUAAUACGGAGGGUGCAAGCGUUAUCCGGAUUCACUGGGUUUAAAGGGUGCGUAGGUGGAUCGGUAAGUCCGUGGUGAAAUCCCCGAGCUUAACUCGGGAACUGCCGUGGAUACUAUCGAUCUUGAAUGCCGUGGAGGUAAGCGGAAUAUGUCAUGUAGCGGUGAAAUGCUUAGAUAUGACAUAGAACACCGAUAGCGAAGGCAGCUUACUACACGGUGAUUGACACUGAGGCACGAAAGCGUGGGGAGCAAACAGGAUUAGAAACCCCGGUAGUCC